CGGAAUCCACAUCGAACCGGCCGUGAGGCAGGCCAGUUUUGCCGGAUGUGACGUGUUCAGGCUGCCGGUCCAGGUGCUCCAGGUGGUCGUACUCAGCCGCCGAAACGAGGAGACGCAUCAAAACGAAGUUAAAGGAGAGCUGCUGGAGCCUCGACGGCGCUCAGUGGCCGCCUGGAGGGGCAGCGAGCCCAGGACAUCUCCUCACGACAUCCGACCAGAACAAGGAGACGGAAGAAUAUAAGAAGGCAAGAAAGGGAAGGAGGACGCGGGCCAGGCUAGCCGUUAGCAGUUAGCCCCCUCCUUCCGCGGACACAACAUGGACGGGAGGCACCGCGCGCGUGCGCAGCAGCUCCGUCAAUCAUCUGUCGCGCAAGCAUUGAGGCGCGCGCACGGUAUUUGCGGCGCACUUCGUCGAUAGCGGCAAAAUGAUCGCAAAACAUUUCUCAAUAAUUUACGGAUAUAAUAUACAAAUGAGUGAUCAAUUCAUCUAACUUGUCUUUUCAGUUACAAAUCGAAAUCUGUUGCAUUAUUUUUAUCCCCAAAAUUUACCGUAUUUUUCAAAUUUAAAUUAAGAUUAAAAGAAUGUGGAGGAAAAAAAACACUGCUGUGGAUUAUAAAUAGGUAUGCUUAUGUUUAAAUACAUUUUAAUCUUACUAUGAAUCUUGGUGACAACCACUGGGUUGGCGGCGCCCUUGCGUGCAAUUGCUUAACCAAUGUUGACUAGUUGGUUAAUGUUUCGCAUCGUGUUUCCACUCAUCAACGUCCAUUCGAUGUGUGUCUAUCAUGCACAUAAGCGUAAACAAAAUAAAGACACAAUCGGUGUUAACAUAUCACUAUAUUUAUAUUAUAAUCAUCAAAUUCAAUGAAGUACCUGAAACUAACAAGCGGAGGCGCACAGCCGCCGCCGCCUUCAACACGCGGUCCCAGCGACGACAAAAAGAGAAGAAAGGCACAAAGAGUUGAGAGAUUGACCAAAAACACGACGGACAGACAGACCACGUCUGGAAUUUAAAGAAAAACAAACAAAAAAUAUAAAGAAUGAAACAAAAAAAAUAAACGUAAGCACUAAAGUGAGCAGAGAUGACA